rnacentral:rRNA from 1 species
UACGUAGGGUGCAAGCGUUAAUCGGAAUUACUGGGCGUAAAGCGUGCGCAGGCGGUUUGUUAAGACGGAUGUGAAAUCCCCGGGCUCAACCUGGGAACUGCAUUCGUGACUGGCAAGCUAGAGUAUGGCAGAGGGGGGUGGAAUUCCACGUGUAGCAGUGAAAUGCGUAGAGAUGUGGAGGAACACCGAUGGCGAAGGCAGCCCCCUGGGCCAAUACUGACGCUCAGGCACGAAAGCGUGGGGAGCAAACAGG